rnacentral:rRNA from 1 species
UGUGGAGCUUCAACUUCCUAAAGAAUAGACAAAUUUUUAAAAGAAAAAAUCCUCUUUAAAAGAAGUUUUGGUUGGGGCAACCACGGAGUAUAAAAAACCUCCAGAAAAUUAAACCGAUUUUACAUCAAAUAAAAUUAAACAAAAAGAACCAGAACCCCUGGCAAACAGAAAAAGUUACCGCAGGGAUAACAGCGUAAUCUCCUUUAAGAGUUCACAUUGACAAGGAGGAUUGCGACCUCGAUGUUGGAUUGGGGACACCUUAGGGUGCAGCAGCUCUAAUGGUUGGACUGUUCGUCCAUUAAAACCCUACAUGAUCUGAGUUCAGACCGACGAGAGUCAGGUCAGCUUCUAUCUUCUUAAAAUUUUUUUCUAGUACGAAAGGACCGAAAAAAUACUUCCUAUAAUUUUUAUCAAGAAGUAAAUUUUACAAAUAAAAACAACCCAAUAAUGAAA